rnacentral:rRNA from 1 species
GUGUCCUACGGGAGGCAGCAGUGAGGAAUAUUGGUCAAUGGGCGGGAGCCUGAACCAGCCAAGCCGCGUGAGGGAAGAAGGUACAGCGUAUCGUAAACCUCUUUUGUCAGGGAACAAAGGCGGGGACUAGUCCCCGGAUGAGGGUACCUGAAGAAAAAGCAUCGGCUAACUCCGUGCCAGCAGCAGCGGUAAUACGGAGGAUGCGAGCGUUAUCCGGAUUUAUUGGGUUUAAAGGGUGCGCAGGCGGCCUGUUAAGUCAGAGGUAAAAGCCCGGGG